UAAUUCAUGAGUUUGAUCCUGGCUCCGAUUGAAUGCUGGUGGUAUGUAUUGACACAUGCAAGUUGAACGAAGUUAAUUUUAUAUUAAUUUAGUAGCGUACAGGUGAGUAUUUUAAAGAAUUUUUCUUGCAGUACAGCAUAGUUUUAAAUAAUUCUGUAUAAUGUUUCUGAUCAUAUUUUUAAUUAAUAUAUUUCAUAUGAUCGUAAUUUUUAGGAACCAAAGAUUUAAUAUUGCUGUUAGAAAAAGCUUUAAUAGGAUUAGGUUUAAUAGUAAUUUUUUAUAAAAGAUCUUUAUAAAAAGGGUAACUGCCUACUAUACUAAUGAUCCUUAGUUGGUCUGGGAGGAUGAUCAACCACAUUAGGACUGGAAAAAUGCCUAACUUCCUUAGCGGGGCAGCAGUGGGUAACUUUGGACAAUGAGCGAAAGCUUGAUCCAGCAAUACCACAUGAGAGAACUUAAGGUUGUAAAUUACUGUAAAUUUCAAUAUGCAAUGAUAAAAAAAUUUUAUGAUAGUAAUUGUAUACAGUCCCGACUAACCUCGUGCCAGCAGUCGCGGUAAUACGAGGGGG
rnacentral:rRNA from 1 species